rnacentral:rRNA from 1 species
GAAUCUUCCGCAAUGGACGAAAGUCUGACGGAGCAACGCCGCGUGAGUGAUGAAGGUUUUCGGAUCGUAAAGCUCUGUUGCCAGGGAAGAACGCUUGGGAUAGUAACUGCUCCCAAGGUGACGGUACCUGCGAAGCAAGCCCCGGCUAACUACGUGCCAGCCGCCGCGGUAAUACGUAGGGGGCAAGCGUUGUCCGGAAUUAUUGGGCGUAAAGCGCGCGCAGGCGGCCUUGUAAGUCUGUUGUUUAAACUUGGGGCUCAACCCCAAGUCGCAAUGGAAACUGCAAAGCUUGAGUACAGAAGAGGAAAGUGGAAUUCCACGUGUAGCGGUGAAAUGCGUAGAGAUGUGGAGGAACACCAGUGGCGAAGGCGACUUUCUGGGCUGUAACUGACGCUGAGGCGCGAAAGCGUGGGGAGCAAACAGG